GCUUCAGUGAACACUUUUGAACACUGAGUACAAUUCUGUGGCAAAAGCAGGGGAAUCCCAAACUGCGGCAUGGCAGUGUGAUGUGAUCUUCCUGUUCAUUUUCCACAGUGGUGGGGGGGAGGGGGUGUACAUACUAUACCUACCCCCAUUAUCAGACUUGACGAACUCUGGAUGUACAGUGAAGCCUGUGCUAUGUGGUCACCUGGGAACUGAUCGCUGCUUACCACAGCCCACGUUCCCCCAUUGCUCCUCCAGACAUGAUCGUAACAUUUAACCUGUUCGCUGCCAAGUAUAAUUCCCCCCCCCCCCCCCC